rnacentral:misc_RNA from 1 species
AACCAUUGUCACAUAAUUUAACAAUGACUUCUAAUUUCUGACGUUGGAUACAUCGCCAAUCAUGGCCAAAUAAUUCGUAGCAAAUCGUGUUAAAAUAUGUAUUAAAAAGGCAAUAAGGUCACACUAUUCUAGGGACUUCCCGCUCUACUUAGCCCCUAGAUAUAGAUGACAAUACCGCCACGUUUACUCUCUAGGUUUCUUCUUCCACUCUAUGAGCUCGUCGCGCACAAUCGCAAACUGUCACAGUAUUAAAAGUGAUCGUGGAUUGCCAAAAUAAACGCGGAUUGCAAAGUGAGGUUAACCCACGGCGUGGUGAGUGCCGGUCGUCAGACAUCGGGAGUGUCCAGAAAUCAAUAAGUAGAACAUGGAAAAAGUGUACGUAAAUACAGGCGUGAAGGUUGAGGGAAGCAGCAAUUGGAGCGUGUGGAAAUUUCAAAUAAAGGUUAUUUUACAAGCCAUGAGGUUACUUGGUUUGGUCGAAGGAUGUGUGCUGAGGCCGGUGUUAGGCGCGGAAGCAGAAGCCGACUGGAUUUCGAAAGACGGCAAGGCUAAGGGAAUUAUAAUAACACACUCACAAGAAAAAGUCAUAGUUCACGUUAUAACAACAACUUCAGUUCCAGAAAUGUGGAAUAAACACUUAGAACAGCAAAAGUUCUUUUCAUUGAAGUGUGAGGGAAAUCAUAUAUCGACUUUCUUUGCUAAACUUGAGGAAAUAAGCGAUAAAAUCGCCCAACUGGGGGAGACAGUCUAACAGAGGAUGAUUAUAAGAAAAGUGUUAACGUCGUUAGCCGAAAAGUACAGGCAUUUCGUUGCAGGGUGGAAGUCAGUACCUGCGGAGAGUCAGAGUAUAGCUGAGCUAAUAGCCAGACUACUCGCCGAGGAAGAACGAGUUGCAGACAGGGAUUCGCCAGCAAAAGGAGAGACAUCGGUAGCAUUGGUCAGUGAAAGUUCUCGCAGUAUUGUCAAGUGCUAUGGCUGUGGAACAGAAGGACACUAUAAACGAGACUGUAAGUCGGUAAAAGGUCAUUGUCAUUAUUGCAAACAGUACGAGCACCACAUAAGCAAGUGUAGAACUAGAGUACAAAAAUUGAGGCAAAAAGAGAAAAAUGACACUCAGGAUCAGAUGAACAGUAAAAAAAGUAACGCGUAAAUUGCUGAGUAUAAAAAUCAAAGCUGGUUAGUCGAUACGGGUGCUAGUGAGCAUAUGUGCCAUAUAAAGGAAAUGUUCGCCACCUACACUGAAUAAACGAAUUACGAAAAGGUAGUGAUAGGAGAUAGGAGUGAAUUAGACGCGGUUGGCUGCAGAACAGUCAAGUCAAAGGCAUAUGACGGCCUUGAGUGGGUAAACACGAUGCUAAACAAUGUAUUACAUGUGCCUAGAAUGACAGUAAAUUUGUUCUCUGUUAGAAACGCGGCUGACAAAGGCUAUCGGGUAAUAUUUAACAGUGAGCAGUAUAGUAUCGAAAAAGACAUUCGAGUAAUGGCAAUCGAGGAUAGAAGUUGAAAGCUAUAGACCAUGCAUUUUAGUGGUAUUGGGCAAGCAGCAGCGGGGUAUGCCAAGGACAAUUUAUUGGUAUAUCUAUUGCCUGAAAAAUAAACAUGAAGUAGCGAGGAACGUCAAAAGGUAUCUUAGCCUGGUAGAGCAGGAUAUAGGAAAUGAAGUCGAAUUCGUAUUGUCAGAAAAUGGAACCGAAUUUGUGAAUGCGGAACUGAAGAGCAUUUUCGAAGAGAGAGAGAUAAGACAUCAGACAUCUGUAGUGUACAUCCUGGAGUAGAAUGGUAAGGUCGAGCGCGACAACGGAACCAUCGUGGCCGUUGCUAGCUUGAUGCUAAUGGCAAAAGGCCUGAGUAAGAGUUUGUGGGCCGAGGCAGUGUAUAUAGCAGCAUACGUACUAAACAGGAGGAAAAAAGUACAGUACCCGACAAAUUUCCUCUUGAAGCAUGGUUUGAGCAAAGUUAUGAUUUGAGUAAUCUCAAGAUUUUUGGUUUGAAGGUAGAUGCCCUCGUCCCAGCACAACGGCGACAGAAAUGGGACUCCAAAAGUACAAGUGGAUUGUUUGUCGGUUGUGGAGAAGAUACAAAGGGGUACCGAGUGUACUUCCCACAGACAGGAAUAGUUGGAGUCAGGAGAGAUGUUUCGUUUGAGUCUAACCAUAAACAAGUCAAACAAGAGGUAAUAUUACUUGACUAUGUUAAUGACGAAGUACCUGGAGAAUCAGAAACGCAGCAAGCCAAGACGAAGACGAGCAGUUAGAUUGUCAAUCGGGCAGCAGCAUCUUCGAGGAGUGUGACAAAGAGUUGAGUGAAACAAGUGAAUCAGGUGAAGCAAUGGUAGAUUUGAACGCCACAAUAGUUCGUGAAUUUGGUAAGCGUAGUAUUGUAAAGCCCAAAAGAUAUACUGAUUAUGAGACAGGUUUUGUCAGUAUACUAAACGAACCUAAGCCCUACGAGGUAGCUAUCGAAAGUCCUCAUGCGGAAAAAUGGAAAGACGCUAUGAAUAGCGAACUAAGUGUAUUGCGAGAAAACAAUACACGGAUCAUAGUACCUACACCAAAAAAUAAAAAGAUAAUAAAUAGUGAGUGGAUAUAUAAAAUUAAGCAGGAUAGUGAAGGGAACCCAUCCCAAUUUAAAGCAAGGUUAGUAGCAAGAGGCUUCCAGCAAAGGAAACUGAGGUAUAUGAUAUAUAUACACUAGUGGUGAAAAUAAUCACUUUUAGAAUUGUACUAGCCGUAGCAAACAGAUUAGGAUUACCAGUACAUCAGCUAGACGUAAGAAGUGCUUUCUUGUACGGAAAUAUAAAUGAGGAAGUACGUAUAAAGUUACCAAAGAAUGUAAAGAUUGAACAAAACACUGUGGGAAAAUUGAAUAAGUCAAUAUAUCGCUUGAAAAAGUCGCGGAAGUAUUGGAACUAAAAGUUCGAUGAGGUUAUAACAGAAAAAGGUUUUGUCCGUUCACAAAAUGAUUUCUGUUUGUAUACGAAGUGCAAUAUGGCUAGCAAAGUAUAUCUGUUAUUGUUCGUUGACGAUAUAUUAAUCUUUGAUACGAAUGAGGACGAAGUAUGUAAUCUGAAAAAUUAUCUGGGAAAUGUUUUCCAAAUGAAAAUCUUGGGCUUGGUAUCCAAUUACUUAGGUAUACGCGUAACGCAAAACUUGAAGGAGGGAAUUACUGAAAUGAAUCAAGCGGUAUAUUUGAGUCAAAUCUAAACAAGUUUGGUAUGAGCGAGUCUAAGCCCAUGUCGACGCCUAUAGAGAACAAGUUUCAGUAUGUCAAACCAGAAGUGAGCGAUAGAGAAUUAGAGUCAGAGUGUCGACAGAUAAUAGACUGUCUCGUAUAUGCAGACCUUGGAACUAGACCAGAUUUAUGUUUAAGCAUAUCAUAUCUAAGCCGAUACUAGAACUACGCAAAUCAGGAGCUAUACACCGCAUUGAAACGUGUGUUGAGAUACAUUAAAAAUAUUUUACACUUGAAGCUAAUAUUAAAAAAAAAUAUAAAUGCUCAAACUCUAUGUAGGUAUGUAGAUUCUGAUUGGGGCAGUGACACGAAUGAUCGAAAGUCAACGUCAGGAUUUGUAUUCAAGCUAAAUUCGACUGUGCAGUAGUAUGGUUGUCGAGAAAACAGCAAACCGUUAGUUUAUCCUCCACAGAGGCUGAAUGUAUUGUUUUGAGUUCAGCAGUAGUAGAAGCUAGUUGGCUACUAAAAUUACUUGAAGAUUUUAAAAUAACUGGCAAAGACCCAAUAAUCAUUCAGGUGGAUAACCAGGCAGCCAUAAACCUAGGAAAUAAUCCAGAAAACAAAAGGGUCGAACACGUGGACAUUAAAUUCAACUACAUAAAACAAAAAAUUAAAGAAGAUUUGAUAACUCUAAAGUAUAUCAAAUCAGAAGACCAAACAGCUGAUCUGUUUACCAAACCUGUAGUCAGAGAGAAAUUUGUUAAUUUUGUCAAAAAUUUUAAUUUCAACUGAACAGCAGACCAAAAGUUUCUUGCUUGCUCCAAAACCAGGGAGCAAUGACUAGAAUAGUUAGUUUUAAGAAACAUGAAUAUUUUUUUGUUGAAUGAUUAUACUAGUGAAUAAAAAACAAGCCUAGAAGAGAAGGAAGACUUUAUUGAGGGAAGGUGUGAAAAUAUGAAUUGAAAAGGUUAUAAAGUCACUAGUCUAGGGACUACCCUGUGACGUCGGUACGGUACCUGGUGAAAAUUUCCAAAUGUUAGAGACUAGAUUCGUUCACACAGCUACAGCUAGACUCACAUCAGUAGUUUGGGUCACCAAUUACCGAUAAAGUAUUGAAAUACAUCGGACAACGGUCAUUCUAUCGCUCUAAUCGAACGAACCGAGGAAAGAGUAAUUGUUGGAUGAAAGAUUUAGUUAUUUGGCUUACCUUUUGAGAAUAAUCUGGAUAUGAUGACUUGCAGCGUAGAUUGGUGAGAGGAUUUAACGGAAUGACUGAUUUUAAUAUAUUUGCAUACUUUGAUUAA